rnacentral:lncRNA from 1 species
AUGUCAAGGGGCUGGGAAAUGAGUCACGGGUACACCGCUCUCUUCUCGAGGGCCAGAGCGAGGCUUGUGGUAAAUGGGUGUGGAGCCCCCAGCAAGGCCCCCCUAAGAACGGGAUCAGGGAAGCUGUGCCCAGAGGCAGCUGUCCCUUCAAAAAUAACCCCAGGUGGGGCUCUGAGAGCAGCCAGGCCCAGGACAGACCCCAGCUCCUGGCAGGGGAGAGACAGCCCGGACGCCAGGACACACCUUCCAAGCCAGACCCAACGCUCUGCCUGGAACGCGCCUUUCUCUCCUGCCUGCAGGCUGCCGACUGUCCCGCCCCAUCAGCCAAGGACGUCUAUGUCAUCCGUCCCCUGUGAUAAAGCCCCCUGCCACCUGCCAAGGAAGGCUUCUCACACCCAGACCUCAGCCCACGUUCAGUUACAUGAGAGAAACACCCCGGUCCGGUCAGCUUCUGAGAGAUGGCUGGGGCCAGGGAAUCCGAGCCAAAAGCAGGCAGCAUAAAGCUUCUUCGGCAAACCUUUCCACGCCAACACCUAUGACCCAGCCAGGUGAGGACUCCACAGUGGCCUUGCCCCAAAGCGGGGCUGUGGAAUCUUUAGAGCUGUCCAAGGCGCGUAUCGGGGCCAGAAAGUCUGGGGAAAGUUCCGCCAGGCAGGAGAGAGUUAACGGGUUUGCAAACCCUGAGCCACCAGGGCCAGCUCCCUCCGUGCCCUCAGCCAGCCACCGGCCGGCCGGGCCUCGCUGCCAGCCCGGAGCUGACAAAACUGACCGCUGAGUCAGGCCUGCCGAGCUCCCGGCCCAAUUGUUUGCAAAGACAAAAGGGACGCUGACGGCCCAGCUCUCGGGCCAGGCAGGUGGGCGCGGGGAGGAGGCUGAGCCUGGCUGCCUGGCUCUGCACCCGUCUCAGCGAUGCCUGGGGGGAGGUGGCACGACCCUGAUGGGCUGCAGUGCCCCAGCCCCCAGAAACGAGGAGGGGACAGUCCCUCUGACCCCUUGCCCUUGUUUGGGUCUCCACCCCCUGGCAACCCACAGAGCCGGAGCCUCUUCAUCGUCACAGGUAUAAAACGGCCAGACAGUACACCCAGUUACAAAACACUGGCGCCCGAAGUCAGGAGCACACGGCAGGAAAAUCUGUGACCGACACCCGACUAUCCUCACGCGGGGCUCUGAGGACCACGAGGGGCACCCUUCCUCCUUGCCCACCCGGGAAGCGGUGCUGUGUGUGCGUUCCUGAGCCAGCCUGCGUGGGUUCAAAUCCCGUCACUUCAGCUGCCUGGACAGGUUGUUAACGUUUUUUUUAAACCUUUGCCAGUUUCGCCAUCUAUGAAGCAGGACUGACUUCAGUCCCAACCUGAGGAUGGCUGUGAGGACAGCAGAGAGUGCAGGGGGGCCCCCCUGCGCAUCGGCACUGCCUUAGGCAGUAUUAUUCCCAUUUUCCAGAUGAGGAAACUGGAGGCUCUGGAAGAGGAUGUCUCUAGCCAAGAUGGAGUCACUGGUAAGU